AUGAAUCUUCUUAGUUGGAACUGUCGAGGAGGUGGGAAUACCCGGAUAGUUCGAGAGUUGGCGACUAUAGCACAAUCGCAUUCUCCCAAUAUUGUGUUCUUAUGUGAAACUAGGCAAAAAGAAGGAAAGAUGAAGAGAAUAAGAAAUCGUUUAGGCUUGAAAGGAUUUGCUGGAGUGGAUAGCGAUGGAUUAAGUGGAGGCCUUGCCCUCUACUGGCAUGAAUCAUUUGAUGUCUUGGUUCUGGAUAAGGAAGAGAGGUACAUUGAUGUGCUGGUGCGGACUCAGGCUGAUACAAAACAAUGGCGCCUUACGUGCGUGUAUGGUGAACCCCGACUGGAAAAUAGGCACAUUAUGUGGACAAAGUUGCAGAAUUUGGCAAUAGUUAAUGAUCUUCCUUGA
rnacentral:rRNA from 1 species